GAUUUGAAGCUGAGGACCAUAAACUUGAGUGACCAGCGGAUUUUUCAGCUACUGAGGACCAUUGAGGAGGCCACAGGAGUCGGGUCCUUAAUCCGAAAAGGGGAGAUCCAGCUCCUGGAUUACGUUUUCUAUGUUAUGCUCCCAGAAAUCCUCAUAAGCUUCCUGAUUAACAAGGGAAAGACCAGGCUGCAGGCGGAGAUUCUGCUGCCAAAGGAGGGAUUUUUUAAAUUAUGUUGCACUUAUUUUGUUGUUGUUCUGUUUUUAAGAGUUAAGUGUUCAAUUUUACUUUUUAUAAAUGUUGAGAUGUUGUUUGGUUCAGUUUACAUUCAUUUUUAAUUUACUUACAAAUAAAGUUUAUUAAAACUUG